AUUGAACGCUGGCGGAAUGCUUUACGCAUGCAAGUCGAACGGCAGCACGGGUGCUUGCACCUGGUGGCGAGUGGCGAACGGGUGAGUAAUAUAUCGGAACGUAUCCAAUAAUGGGGGAUAACUAGCCGAAAGGUUAGCUAAUACCGCAUACGCCCGGAGGGGGAAAGCUGGGGAUCGUAAGACCUAGCGUUGAUGGAGCGGCCGAUAUCUGAUUAGCUAGUUGGUGGGGUAAGAGCCUACCAAGGCGACGAUCAGUAGCUGGUCUGAGAGGACGACCAGACAAACGUGAACUGAGACUCGGUCCAGACCCCUAGGGGAGGCAGCAGUGGGGAAUUUUGGACAAUGGGGGAAACCAUGAUCCAGCCAUACCGCGUGAGUGAAGAAGGCCUUCGGGUUGUAAAGCUCUUUCGGCCGGGACGAAAUCGCACGCGUGAAUAUCGUGUGCGGAUGACGGUACCGGCAGAAGAAGGACCGGCUAACUACGUGCCAGCCGCCGCGGUAA
rnacentral:rRNA from 1 species